AUCAUUUAAGUCCAAUAAUCAGUAAGAUUUCACCCUACCAGAAUACACUUUUUUUUAUUAACUGUCUGGACCUUUGCUGAUUACAUUGUCCGGAAUGUGGAGUAUCGCAUUUGAGAAGAGGAUUGGAUCCUAGCCAUAACAUAAAUAUAAGGGUAAUUACAUCCAUGCUGAGAAAGAUUUAGGAAUGAUAGUAAGUUCAUUUGAGUGAGUGGUUUGGGCCAAACUUGAUAGAGAAUAGUCCAGGAAGACAUUUACUAUAAACAGUAGAUUAAAUGUUCUUGCCUGGUUAAUUACAUUUGAACUCUGUUAAUGACUGAAUCACUCAAACUGCUUAAUUGUAUUAUUAGAUGCACAUUUAAGUUAUGUAUUACAUGUCUUUAGUGGUGAUCAGAAUUUUAUCAGUUCCUCUGUCUUUCUUUAUACCAAGUAUGACUCAUAAACCCAGUAUUAAUUUGCCAAGAGAUUGGCAUACUAUUUGUAUAUAUGCUUUUCUUUCAAAUAAUCUGGAUUCCCAAUGCCCACAAUCAUUGAUCCUAAAGAAAAUGUGAGAGUAGGUAGAUAAACUCAAACAUCCCUACCAUCACCCCUGGUAGGAAAUCACUGGUGUAAUGUAUGAUAUUAACAUCUGCACCAAUUACUCUUAUAGGUGGAACAAUCCAAAGUUUUAAUCAGAGAAGGUGGUGUUCAGUUGCUGCUUACAAUAGUUGAUACCCCAGUAUUUGGAGAUGCAGUGGAUAACAGUAAUUGGUAAAAAGGAUUUGUCCUCACAACUUUCCAGUGUAUUUGGGGUACUGGGGUGGUUAAACUUUCUCUUCUUAACAUUUUAAAACUCUUCUUAGCAAAGGUCACCAAACUUCAAGUAACAUGACAGGUUUGUAUACCAACUUUGCCACUUAUUUGACAAAGUUUAACUUCAAAGUUAAACAAAGAAGUUUAACUUCUUUGAACCCAUUUACUUUUUGAUAAAAUGGAGAUAAUACCUAUCAUAAAAUUGUUUUGAAGACAUAUUCCAAAAUAACGUAGCUAGAUAGAAGAAUUCUCAUUAUUGGAAGAAAUUUAAAAUGCUUUGCUUUAAUUUUAUCCAUUUGUAUAAAUUCUAUCACAAUCCUAAUUUAAACCUGAUAUUUAGACCUUCAGUUUUUCCAUAAGUCCUAAGUGAAGAAAACAACUAUGAAAUUUUAGUCUGAAGUAAUUAUCUUAGUAUUUUAUAAAUAACUUUAAUUUUGUUUGAAUUCACAUUGUUUUUGAGGUAUUUUUCUGUCAACUCUUAAAACUCCUAAGUUCAUCAUGAAGUUUUUAUAUUAUUUAAGUAAUCUCUCAUUUGAAAUUUGAAACUGAAUAUAAUCGUUUUCAUAUUAUGAAGUGUGUUAUUAAUACACUUACUAGUGCCAAUAGUAUGCUAAUAAUUUAGCUGUGUUUCAACAAUAAAUAUUUUCUUUCAUUUGGAAAGUUUUGAAAUAAUGAAUAAAGAUUUAUUCAACACAAUUUAUAUUUUUGAAUCUUUAUAUAGAAUAACUUGACAUAUCUUCCAUUGGUUAAUUCAUUUUGCCUAUUUGAAAAUAUUGAUUAUUGUCCUUUAACAGUCAUCAGUUAAUUCAUAUGUAGAAUUGCAACUUAAUUGUUUUGUUUAUUUGCAUUCUAUAGCUGGCAGCCUGCUAUCAAUUACAUUGAUAGUAAAUUUGAGGACUACCUAAAUGCAGAAUCGCAAGUGAACAGAUGUCAGAUGCCUGGUAACAGGGUGCAGUGUUGUUUAUACUUCAUUGCUCCUUCAGGACAUGGCUCUGUUCACGGAAAGGGCCUGGGAGCUGCAACACCUCAACAGCAACGAGCACACCUGCUACCUAGAACUUGGUUUCUAAAAACCAUCCUCCUCUAAAAGGAAACAGAGCUCUUUGAAGAAAUGGUAAUUUCAAAGCUAGAGCACAGAAAGUAUAAGAUGAGCCCAGAAUAUCUUUUUGUACAAGAAAGUAAGGCAAUGCUCAAAGAAUGAUGGAGACAUGCCCAAAAAAAGCAGAGAAGCCAACUUGAAAAGAUUCCAACAGGCCAAAUAUGGGACAAUUUGAACAUCAGAAUAAAAUGGUGACAGUCACAGAAUUAUAACCCAUUGAAGAAAGGAAUUCAUGACAUCAUAUUAAUAUAAAUAAUAAUUGAAUAUUGAAAUUCGUUAAAGGAAAUGAGAUAUUUAUGUAGUCUUAAGGUAUCUUCUCACAAAUUAUGUAUUACUUACAAAGGGGAAAAGUGCACCUUGACAUGAGAAUCUUGGCAGAACCACUUUAAUCAAGAGGUUUAGUUGAGCAUUAUCAGUAACAGAGUAAAUCAAAAUCAUGAGCCACUUGAUAGAUACAAUGAGAAAAUAAAGCAUCACUUCUGUGACACCCUAUAAAAAAUGAAUCUAAUAAUGAGGAAACAUUAGAAAAAAACCAAACUGAGGGAUAUUCUACAAAUAAAUGGUCCUGUAAUCUUCAAAAAUUUCAAGGUUAUAAAAGUCAAGAAAAACAGACAAUCUUUUCCAAACUCAGGGGAACUAAAGAGGCAUGAAAUCUAAAUGCUUAAUUCUGGAUUUCAUCUUUUUGAUAUAAAGAACAGUAUUGAGACUAUUGAUAAAAUUUGAGUGGGGUCUGAAGAUUCAUUGGUAGUAGUAAGCUCAAUUUAAUUUCCUCACUUUGAUCAUUGUACUCUGGUUUUUUAGAAUGUUCUAGUCAACAGGUAAUAUGAAUUAAACUAAUCGAGGGUGACAGGGCAUUAUAUCAGCCACUUAUCAACAAACAUUUCAGAGAAAAAUAGUUCCUUGUAUUGUUAUUGCAAUUUUCUUUGAGAUUGCCCCCUCCAAAACAGUAAGAACUUUCAAAAACAAACAAAUAUAUCAAGCCACAGAUUCAAAGUGCUAUAAACUCCAUGCAUGAUUAGUUCUCACUCAUAGGUGGGAAUUGAACAAUGAGAACACAUGGACACAGGAAGGGGAACAUCACAC
rnacentral:lncRNA from 1 species